rnacentral:misc_RNA from 1 species
CUGAAUUCUAAUUGUAGGGUGGUACAGGCAAAAGUACCGAUACGCGACGGUACGACGUAGCCAUGCAUUAUUACAUUUUUUUUUUUUUUUUUUUUACGCCUAUUAUUGUAAGUUAAAUUUAAGCCGCUGUUGCGCUGAGCUUAUGUGCGAUGUUUUAAUUUAUGUCCUGAAAGCCUGGACGCAAAAACAGGACAACGUUAACCACUGCGCUGCCGUCGUCCAACACUAGUUAGUGUUGAGUGGUGGUAUUUGGCUUGUCGAGUGCCGCCACACUAUAAA